rnacentral:rRNA from 1 species
UACGUAGGGGGCAAGCGUUGUCCGGAUUUAUUGGGCGUAAAGAGCGUGUAGGCGGCUAGAUAGGUCCGUUGUGAAAACUCGAGGCUCAACCUCGAGACGCCGGUGGAAACCAUCUAGCUAGAGUCCGGAAGAGGAGAGUGGAAUUCCUGGUGUAGCGGUGAAAUGCGCAGAUAUCAGGAAGAACACCCGUGGCGAAGGCGGCUCUCUGGUACGUGACUGACACUGAGACGCGAAAGCGUGGGGAGCGAACAGG